CCUACGUGAGGCUGCAGUGGGGAAUAUUGCGCAAUGGGCGAAAGCCUGACGCAGCGACGCCGCGUGAGGGAUGAAGGUCUUCGGAUCGUAAACCUCUGUCAGCAGGGAAGAACGGUCACUGUGCUAAUCAGCAGUGAAUUGACGGUACCUGCAAAGGAAGCAUCGGCUAACUCCGGGCCAGCAGCCGCGGUAAUCCGGAGGGUGCGAGAGUUAAUCGGAAUUACUGGGCGUAAAGCGAUCGUAGGCGGUAUGUCAAGUCAAGGGUGAAAUCCCCGCGCUCAACGUGGGAACUGCCUUUGAAACUGGCAACCUGGAGUGUGUGAGAGGAUAGUGGAAUUCCAGGUGUAGGAGUGAAAUCCGUAGAUAUCUGGAGGAACAUCAGUGGCGAAGGCGACUAUCUGGCACAUAACUGACGCUGAGGAGCGAAAGCGUGGGUAGCAAACAGGAUUAGAUACCCGAGUAGUC
rnacentral:rRNA from 1 species